UACGUAGGGUGCGAGCGUUGUCCGGAAUUAUUGGGCGUAAAGAGCUCGUAGGCGGCUUGUCGCGUCGGAUGUGAAAGCCCGGGCUUAACUCCGGGUCUGCAUUCGAUACGGGCAGGCUAGAGUGUGGUAGGGGAGAUCGGAAUUCCUGGUGUAGCGGUGAAAUGCGCAGAUAUCAGGAGGAACACCGGUGGCGAAGGCGGAUCUCUGGGCCAUUACUGACGCUGAGGAGCGAAAGCGUGGGGAGCGAACAGG
rnacentral:rRNA from 1 species